CAGUGAAACUAAUCUCCCCGUGAAGAAGCGGGGAUAAAACUAUAAGACGAGAAGACCCUAUGGAGCUUUAAACAACAUAGCACUUGCCCCAUAAAAUUUAAACUCCUGAACCCCAAACUUCAUUAGGCAAUAUGACUAUAAGUUUUUGGUUGGGGUGACCGCGGAGCAUAGCACAACCUCCAUGCUGAAAGAAUUCUUUUAAGCCAAGAGCUACCAAUCUAAGCAUCAAUAAAUUGACAUCUAUUGACCCAAUACACUUGAACAACGAACCAAGUUACCCUAGGGAUAACAGCGCAAUCCACUUCAAGAGCCCCUAUCGACAAGUGGGUUUACGACCUCGAUGUUGGAUCAGGGUCUCCCAGUGGUGCAGCCGCUACUAAAGGUUCGUUUGUUCAACGAUUAAAACCCUACGUGAUCUGAGUUCA
rnacentral:rRNA from 1 species